CUUAAAUGAAUUGACGGGGACCCGCACAAGCAGCGGAGCGUGUGGUUUAAUUCGAUGCUACACGAAGAACCUUACCAGGGUUGACAUGCAAGUGGUAGGAAACUGAAAAGGGACCGACCUUCGGGAGCUUGCACAGGUGCUGCAUGGCUGUCGUCAGCUCGUGUCGUGAGAUGUUCGGUUAAGUCCGCUAACGAGCGCAACCCUCACUGUGUGUUAUAUGUGUCACACGGGACUGCCGGUUUUAAGCCGGAGGAAGGUGGGAUGACGUCAAGUCAGCAUGGCCUUUAUAUCCUGGGCUACACACACGCUACAAUGGUCGGUACAAUAGGUUGCCAAGCCGCGAGGCGGAGCCAAUCCAAAAAAGCCGGCCUCAGUUCAGAUUGUAGGCUGCAACUCGCCUGCAUGAAGAUGGAGUUGCUAGUAACCGCAGGUCAGCAAUACUGCGGUGAAUACGUUCCCGGGUCUU
rnacentral:rRNA from 1 species